GUUAAAUGCCCAUGAAAAUCACUUGAAAGUCUCAAAAUUACUCAACACGAUUAUUGAAGAAGAGGAUGAGAAUUAUGGUGCAGAGGGUUAAGAUAUUAAAUGAUGAAACGAAGAUGGUAGAGCCUGG